GAUGAACGCUGGCGGCGUGCUUAACACAUGCAAGUCGAACGGAAAGGCCCAAGCUUGCUUGGGUACUCGAGUGGCGAACGGGUGAGUAACACGUGGGUGAUCUGCCCUGCACUUCGGGAUAAGCAUGGGAAACUGGGUCUAAUACCGGAUAGGACGAUGGUUUGGAUGCCAUUGUGGAAAGUUUUUUCGGUGUGGGAUGAGCUCGCGGCGUAUCAGCUUGUUGGUGGGGUAAUGGCCUACCAAGGCGUCGACGGGUAGCCGGCCUGAGAGGGUGUACGGCCACAUUGGGACUGAGAUACGGCCCAGACUCCGACGGGAGGCAGCAGUGGGGAAUAUUGCACAAUGGGCGCAAGCCUGAUGCAGCGAGGCCGCGUGGGGGAUGACGGCCUUCGGGUUGUAAACUCCUUUCGCUAGGGACGAAGCGUUUUUGUGACGGUACCUGGAGAAGAAGCACCGGCUAACUACGUG
rnacentral:rRNA from 1 species